CCUGAUGUGAUGAUACACAAAUAAGUUUGAAGUCAUCUCACUUUCAAUACAAGCAAGAAAUGGCCAAAUUAUUGUUGCUUGAUGAUCAAAUUAUUGUUGCUUGAUGAUCAAAUUAUGGCUUGUGACAGCAGGCUUCUGGUAAAUCUUUUACAGUUUAGAUUCAAGGAUGUACAUACUAGAUGUCCAAGUAUAAACAUUCUGGAGAGAUUUUGGAGUAUUACCUUUUUGUCAAAGCAUCUUUCUUUACGCUUGAGACGGAAUUUAUUCAAGGCAGCUUCUCGUUGAGCUGAUCGACUUUGAUCCACACCAACACCACUACCACUACCACUUCCACUUCCACUACCACUUCCAUUUUCAGCACCAUCUUUUGCAGCUAUCCUACUAUCAUUGA